CUUUGUUCGGAACUAAAGAACUACCUUGGUCACCGGCGACGGCGACGUACGCGGCGGCCGCGACCAACAAGGUCUGGGGAGAGAACUGAGGAGAGACAGCGGUGGCGAGUGAUCUUGGAGGUGGCGGUGGAGGGGCAACAGAGUAGAGCGGGAUGGGGUAGAGGAGGAUACGACUGGUCGUUCAUGCGGCGGCCGUACCGGGCAGGGAGUUCAGGUGCUGCGAAGAAGAGACUAUUGAGAGAACGGAAGAAAAGACUACGUCGUCGGGGCGGCGGGUGGUGGAUGAGGAGGAGGGGCCGUAAAGGAGCGGCGGCUUCGGCGGGAAGGGGGUUCAGACGCUGCGGAGAGGACGUAGGAGGAGACUACGUCUUCGGGGUCGUGGAAGCGGAGGAGAGGCGACAGAGGUGGCUGCGGCUGGAAGCGCAUACGGCCGAUACGCGAUGUGUAGUAGCCGCCGCCGACCCGAGGAAGGUGCGGAUGCACGAUGUCCAAGAAGGUUAAUCUCAUGCUCGAUGAGGGGCUCCUGACGAAACAACACACGUUAACCUCGCGGUGGGUGCUCGAGGUGUGAGCGCAAGAGGAGGUUAACUGAGGUAGACCUUCUACCGACCAGACCACGCUACAACCGCACCUCCUCGAUACGAGACGAUAACGGUAGAUUAUACAAAGCAGUUCUUGGUUCCAUACCCACACCUGCUUGUCAUUUUAGAAGAUAUGUAGCGUAGUCAAGAACGAAGUAGAGAUAAUCUUUUAGGAACAAACAUGUUAAAGUAUAUACAAGACCACCAUUAUCUACUUUGACAGAUGAUAUCAUAGACAUUCGUUACUGGUGACCAAUAUCAAAGAAUAGGUUUUAGAAGAACACCUACUUUAAAACUCAUAGCCUCUACAACCACACAUGGAGGGACUUGACCAUAAAAGUGUGUCCGUUGAGAUACUAUGAGAAACAUCUCUAUGUAGAUUUUCAUUGUAUUUAUAAGAAUGAGAAAGCCUAUUCGUUCCCUUCCGGUCAGGUUGGGGUAACGUUAAAAAAGUUUCUUUACAAGAUGUUAAUCCAGAGUUACACAUCAGGUUCCAUAUUUAGUUCAUGUUAAACCACCGUCAUUUUUAUUAUUAAAUAAAUUAUACAAAUCAGUAGAUUUUAACGAAGCGUACAUUCCAGGCCUUCAAACCUGAAGGUCUUUUUUAUUGAAAUCUUUAAACGAAAUCACAAGUACUAUAAGAACAUUCUUUUUAGUAUGUACACAAAAUUAAUAAAAAACCAUCAAGAGUAACAAUGAAAGCAACAAGCUUUUUAUACCUACUGCGGAUGUCAUCCAGAGAUACAGUAACUACGGGGAGGAAAAGAACCAUCGAGGUGUAGGUUAAAAAGUCCAAUCUGUGGUUAAAAAAAGGAACUACAGUCAAUGACCGUAGAAAAGAAAACGUCUUUCAAUGUUAAAAACACACACAUACGUGUUCAUGUGAGCGGGGAAGAUAUAUGUGUACUAAAGUUUCGUACAGAAUGAUAUGUAAAAAAAAAGAAACGAACCAUGUUUUACAUAACGUUCGCUACAAGUAACAAAAAACGAAACAAAUUUAUAUGAAAUUCGAGUCAAAAAAAAGGAAACAGACUUACAUUGUAUCCGUUAAUACAUCCACCCGUCUACCUCUACAUGGCACGAAGUUUUUAAUAAGGGACCGCACUAGAUUCCAUACAUUGAUUAAUUCACCUUGAUCUACACACUCAAUACAGACUUUACAAGAAGAGAAGAACCACCACAACAUAUGUUUAAGUAAAAAGAACGCAUAUAAAUGCUUUAGUAAGCCAAUUUGUGAAGAUGAAGUAAGUACAAACAGAACCUUGAUAAUUAUAUUCACACAUGACAAACCUAUAUAAUUAACGACGUUAAUAGAAGUGUAAAUUCAGGCCACACGGAUUAUAUGACCGUACUUUACCCGUUACAACCGAAGGACCUACUUGCCAUUGACUUAUCGAACAAACGAAACAUGUUGGAAAGGUUCCUUUCUUCGUUAAGAGACAACGUCAUCAAACAACGUCACCAAGAUUCCGACCUGUACUAUUAUACAUAAAAUCUAGUGUCCGACACGAUCUUUAAAACCUCCAGACCACACCCCCGUCAACAGCGUAGAAAAUGUUAAAGUGUUAAGCCUCAAUAGUCAACACUGCGAGCGUGCUGAACGUCAACUGCUUCGGUUACAACCUUCCUACAACUGCGUACCUUGUAGUAAACUGUAUGAGGGAGGCAAGGCUUAAUAAACAGAACCUAAACAGAUCUAUGCCUACAUAGAUCUGAAUAAAAUCACGAUCUAUGGAGGCAUAGAUCUGUUUAGAUUCUGUUCAUUAAGCCUUGCCUCCCUCAUCAUCAGAUCGAAUCACUCGGGGCCAGUAAAAAAACAUGAACAUAUAUUAGAGAAAACGUACGUUCAAUUCACAAAAUGAAAAAACAAAAGGAAAAAGUACACUGAAGAGGAUCGGUUAAUUACUAACACCAUACAAAUAC
rnacentral:rRNA from 1 species